UACGUAGGGGGCAAGCGUUGUCCGGAUUUAUUGGGCGUAAAGAGCGUGUAGGCGGCUAGAUAGGUCCGUUGUGAAAACUCGAGGCUCAACCUCGAGACGCCGGUGGAAACCAUCUAGCUAGAGUCCGGAAGAGGAGAGUGGAAUUCCUGGUGUAGCGGUGAAAUGCGCAGAUAUCAGGAAGAACACCCGUGGCGAAGGCGGCUCUCUGGUGCGUGACUGACGCUGAGGCGCGAAAGCGUGGGGAGCGAACAGG
rnacentral:rRNA from 1 species